GAAGGUUUAUUAGAUGGUAGUGAGACCUGUGAUGAUGUAUGGUUUGAACUGAAAAAAGCGAGGAGGCUGAGCUGGAGGUGCUGAGCGAGAAAUAAGUAAAUCAGAGAGGCAGCUCGGGAUACACAGGUGUGGUUUGGACAUGCGCAGAGGAGGGAGAGUGGAUAUGAUUGGCGUGACAGAGUAUAGGAUAGGGUGAGAUCAAGUAGGAGCAGCGCCCUCUGCUGGUGUCUCCAGACUUGAGGGUCGGACCACGGUUUCUCCUCCUGUUUGCUUCGUUGCAGUUCUUUUACUUCCUGUCUGUGCAGGGUGGAAGAGAAGACUGUCAGCUGACACCCAGAUGAACAUCAGCCAGCUCUUGCUUGCAAAUGAGGGUCUGCAAGGAGCAGAUAAGGCACACCCAGCCAAGGACUGAGGGCACCAAAUCAACCAGGAAUUAAAAAAAAAAAAAGAAGUGGAGAGAGGAGGAAAUUCUCCUAAAGGAGACAACAAGACGUACAGCGUUCACGCCUUUCGUACGAGAUGCGUCGAGUUAUAUAAGAUCUAAAUAUGGCGCGGCCCAUUCGAGUCCGGCAGCACCCAAGGUCAGCGAGCAGGACGUGAAAUUGGAAAGGCUGUCUCGGCUCCUUGGGGAGGAGGCCCGUGCCGUGAGAUGGUCAGGGGAAGUCUCCGUGGUCCUCUUAUCUUCAGUGAGCACUGAACCCCACAGGCCCUCUAAGGCUAAUACAUCUCCAAAAUGACUCUCACCAGAGUGGCGCCGCUGACGAACAGCAGGUCAAACCACCCCGUGCAAUGUCACAGAGCCUCGACAGAGCCGACUGGAAGCUAGCAGGGUCUCUACAAUGUGACUGGCUCCUGUGAAGGCCUCUUUGAUUCAUCAACCUCGCCCGGUUUCACACGCCUUCCUCAAUCCCGGCG